CAUAAUGAUAAUUGUUACUAUGUUCUUGUUUGUUUGACCUGAUUUGACCUGAUACCAAAGUUUGUCAACCAAAAAUAAUUGGAGGCCUGGGUCUUUGGUACUGUUAUUUUGUGGGUGAAAAGCUGAAAUAAUUAGGGAACCUCUGGGUUAAAAUAUAGCAUACAACUCACUGCCCCAGUUUCACGCAUACUCACCAACUCAUCUCUGUGACUACCCCCAGCAUCUCUGGAGCACUUUGGUCAUUUCACGCAUGACACAGAUGUGAGAACAUAACUCAGGUUCAAAGUGUCGUCUGCAAGGGGCUGAGGCUUCUUUAGCUUUUUUUCCCUCAUGAAUGCAGCUCCUCGCUUCAUUAACGCCAGUACUGUCCUCCAGAGGUCAUUUUAAAAGUGCUUAUACAAAGGUGGCAGACCGUUUUAGUUACUUGCCUCUUUGCUGUAAAGUGCUUGAAAUGACUCAAACAACUUGGAAGUGUGACGAAUGGGAGAAGACGGCCGGCAGAGGAUUGCACACAGAGGAGGAGAACCAAAACUGGGUGUUGCCCUUUUUCUGGUGAAACCGCGCCACGUCGUUGGAUGAAGAGUCCUUCUCUGGUUUCAUGUUUCCAGACUUGAUCAAGGCUAUACUGUGAUGAAGAUGAAGAUGAGGAAGGAUGAGAUUAUAAAGGGUGGGCAAAAGAGUGUUGAGGGGGCUACGGUUAUUGCUGACUGCUGAUUCAGCUCUUCCCACCACCCAUCAGGACGAUCUAUUCCGGUUUCCAGAGGGAGCAGUUGUGUUCUUGUGGCUGCUGCUCAAUAUAUAACAAAACCCCUCACAGGACAGACAGCACUUAGUGACAUGGGUCAAAUUACAUGGAUGGGGGCAAAGCAUGGUAAAAAAAAAAAACUCCAGAGAAGCAAGUGUAAAAACCUCAGCGGCUGUGACUGUGAAGGUAGAAUGUUGUGUUUUAGCUGUGUCACCGUGCAGUUAUGUUCCAUCUGACCCACAGGAAAUGGUCCAGGUCAAAGAUUUUUAAAUAAAAUGUUACGUUUUUUUCCACACCUGUCAAAACAAAACUGUUUGUCCUCGGACCUUUUUUUUUUCCUGUUCCUUACACUGUCCCCUGAUUCAGCCUACUCAGAGUGCCACUUAUCCAAACAAUAGUGACAAGCGUGGAGAAGGUCAAGGCUGUGGUAGAGGUGUCGCCCGUCAGCCAGCUGAGCCCAGAAACUUAGACGAGCAGUCUAAUUGGCCCACAGGAAGGAAGCUUGUGAAUACAAGGAAGUGAGGUUCACUGAAAAGACCCAACAGCUGCUGCAGCGGCCUUGCUUGUUAAUGGCAAAAAUAAAAAAAGUUUCCUGAGUAUGCUCAAGUCUGGCCGCCACGCUGAUUAAUUUUAACCACUGAGAAACUGUUAUCUGUUACUGACUGUAAAGUGUGCCCUGCCCUCUGGAAAGGUCACCCUGAGAUGUGUGCGGAGCCACGAUGUGCUGAUGAGUAUCUAUAAAAAUGAUGUCAGUCACCUGUUUUUGUCCAACUAUUCCUGCGAGUCAGUAACAAGUAGAGGAUCAGACAUGUUGCAGUCAGCUGACCAGCUAUUUUGGGUACAAAGAAGCGCAGGAAAUCACAACAAAAAAAAUCUGGUCAAAUCAGUUUUGCGAUGGCUGUACGCUCACUAAUUUUUAAUAUGUUGUUCAUUUAACUGACUGUA